UACGUAGGGCGCGAGCGUUGUCCGGAAUUACUGGGCGUAAAGAGCUCGUAGGUGGUUUGUCGCGUUUGUCCGUGAAAACUCACAGCUUAACUGUGGGCGUGCGGGCGAUACGGGCAGACUGGAGUACUGCAGGGGGAGACUGGAAUUCCUGGUGUAGCGGUGAAAUGCGCAGAUAUCAGGAGGAACACCGGUGGCGAAGGCGGGUCUCUGGGCCGAUACUGACGCUGAGGAGCGAAAGCGUGGGGAGCAAACAGG
rnacentral:rRNA from 1 species